GAACGGGCCAACGAGUUACGUUAAGUAGCAAGGUUAAGCACUUAAGGUGUGGAGCCGUAGCGAAAGCGAGUUUUAACUGAGCGUUCAGUUACUUGACGUAGACCCGAAACCGGGCGACCUACCCAUGAGCAGGAUGAAGCGAAAGUAAAAUUGCGUGGAGGUCCGAACCCACGAGCGUUGAAAAGCUCGGGGAUGACUUGUGGGUAGCGGUGAAAUUCCAAUCGAGCCCGGAGAUAGCUGGUUCUCCCCGAAAUAGCUUUAGGGCUAGCCUCAAGGUGAGAGAUACGGAGGUAGAGCACUGAAUGUCCUAGGGG
rnacentral:rRNA from 1 species